GACGAACGCUGGCGGCGUGCUUAACACAUGCAAGUUGAACGGAAAGGCCCUGCUUUUGUGGGGUGCUCGAGUGGCGAACGGGUGAGUAACACGUGAGUAACCUGCCCUUGACUUUGGGAUAACUUCAGGAAACUGGGGCUAAUACCGGAUAGGAGCUCCUGCUGCAUGGUGGGGGUUGGAAAGUUUCGGCGGUUGGGGAUGGACUCGCGGCUUAUCAGCUUGUUGGUGGGGUAGUGGCUUACCAAGGCUUUGACGGGUAGCCGGCCUGAGAGGGUGACCGGCCACAUUGGGACUGAGAUACGGCCCAGACUCCUACGGGAGGCAGCAGUGGGGAAUAUUGCACAAUGGGCGGAAGCCUGAUGCAGCAACGCCGCGUGCGGGAUGGCGGCCUUCGGGUUGUAAACCGCUUUCGCCUGUGACGAAGCGUGAGUGACGGUAAUGGGUAAAGAAGCACCGGCUAACUACGUG
rnacentral:rRNA from 1 species